rnacentral:lncRNA from 1 species
CUCAGGAGCUCUGAGCUACAGCAGGCUAUGCCGAACUUAGUGCGGACACCCGAUCGACAUAGCCUGCUGCAGCUCAGAGCUCCUGAGCUCAAACGAUCCUCCAACCUCAGCCUCCCGGUAGCUUGGAUUACAGGCACGCGCCACCGCACCCGGCGAGAAGCAGCUACGUUCACAGAAAGUUUUACUUUCAUUCAUGUGCGCUCAUCAGGUUAGUGCCCAUCAUCAACCAAGAUGAAAUGAUGUAAAAAAAAAACAAAAAAAAAACAAAAAAACAACAACAACUAAUCAUUUCAAAAUGAGGAAGUCAGCACAGUAAUAACAGGUUGUUGGUUUUUUGUUGUUUUUUUUGUUUUGUUUUUUACCAAGCAAAAACAUGACAUAGCCUUUUUAAUAAGCCGAAGGACAGCGUAUGUGUGUGUGUGUUUGUAUAUUAUUGUUUUGUGUGUACACUGUCAGAAAUACAAUAAAAAUAUUGAAGGAUUUUUACUCAGUGUUUACAAUUUUCGCAAGUGUCUGAUUGAAUUGAUGACAGCCUCUCAUAUUUUCAUGCCAUGACAUUGGAUGGGACCAAUCCUUAUUUUGGGAUAAUUGGAGUAAAUAACAAAGAUUGUUUCAACUUGCUGAAAGUUUUGACUUCACAAAAUCAGGUUUUUAGCACAUCAGUGUCAAUGUGAGCACAUUCAAAGAUGCACACAUUUAGUUGUGCAGCAGUAAUCAGCUUCCUGUAGUGAAUUUUAUUAGAAUUAUGUAGAAUUUUGUUACAGUGUACAUCAUUGGAAAAUCCAGUAAAGUUCAGGGAUGAACGGUGCACAACUGUCAUAAGCAAGUUCUGAGAAACCUCGUGGUUAAACCAAAUUUCAAGUGUAUGUGAUCACAAUAUCAAGAAGAGCAAAGCUUCAAUGUCAGAAGUGGGAUUCGAACCCACGCCUCCAGAGGAGACUGCGACCUGAACGCAGCGCCUUAGACCGCUCGGCCAUCCUGACGUAAACAAGGCAGCCUUGUGGAAGUUACAAACUGAGAUACUUGGGAAUACACAAACGUUAUAGUCCACAUAACACAUAUAGCAGCUGUUGAGCCAUGGAAACACAUACUGGUGGCGCCCACUUUCUGUGCUGACUUUGAAGUCAGCUGUGCAGUUAGUGAGUCAGGGGAGUGUUUGUGACUUUUACGCACAAGCGCACCUCAGCACUCAGACACCCCACUCUGUAACUUUGCGUGGUGUACAACUGAAUUUCAGACAGCUCUUUAGUACCACAUAGUGAUUGACAAGUGUUUGUAAAGGGAGCGGUCA